rnacentral:rRNA from 1 species
CCCGGAAAAGGGGAAACACCCCCCACCCUUGUGUAUUAUUACUUUGUUGCUUUGGCGAGCUGCCUUCGGGCCUUGUAUGCUCGCCAGAGAAUACCAAAACUCUUUUUAUUAAUGUCGUCUGAGUACUAUAUAAUAGUUAAAACUUUCAACAACGGAUCUCUUGGUUCUGGCAUCGAUGAAGAACGCAGCGAAAUGCGAUAAGUAAUGUGAAUUGCAGAAUUCAGUGAAUCAUCGAAUCUUUGAACGCACAUUGCGCCCCUUGGUAUUCCGGGGGGCAUGCCUGUUCGAGCGUCAUUUCAACCCUCAAGCUUAGCUUGGUAUUGAGUCUAUGUCAGUAAUGGCAGGCUCUAAAAUCAGUGGCGGCGCCGCUGGGUCCUGAACGUAGUAAUAUCUCUCGUUACAGGUUCUCGGUGUGCUUCUGCCAAAACCCAAAUUUUUCUAUGGUUGACCUCGGAUCAGGUAGGGAUACCCGCUGAACUUAAGCAUAUCAAUAAGCCGGAGGAA